AGCUUAGAAAAUGGACACCAGUGAGCUUUAAAGGAAAAUAUUCACACUUGCUACCCCUGUCCAGAAAGAGGAGUGCUGAUCUGCAGCUUCCAGUCUGCUGGACUAGAGUGGAGGCUGACUGAUUCCCAGCCCAGCCAGUGUCUCUCUCCCCAAGCACUCCUACUUUAGAGUGAUCCCAUUACGUUUAGAAAACAAUAAAAAUAAAAAGGAGUAGGGGUUCCCUGUUGGCCUAGCGGUUAAGGAUUAGGCAUGGUCACUGCUGUGGCUCGGGUGGGACCCCUGGCUCCAGAACUUAUGCAUGCUGCAGGCCCAGCCAAAAAAUAAAUAAAAAGAGAUGAAACACUGGAAGGAAAUACACCAAAAUGUUCACAAUGGUUAAUUACAGUAGCGAAUUAUAUGUGGCUUUCAUUUUCUGCUUUGAACUUCUGUUUUCCUUAACUUUUCCAAAGGUUUUAUAAAAGUCAUAGAUUGCCAUCUUAACCAAGAAAAAAUGGAAACUUUGGCAUUUAAAUGGCAUGUACAAUAUGAUCUCAAUUAAGUACAUAUGCAUAGGAAAGGAAGGAAAUGUGAAAGGCAGUUACUAGUGUGUUAUUUUUGGCAACUAAGAUAUGGUCUCUUGCACUUUUUGGUAUUUUCUACCUGAUAAAUAGAGGGAAAAAAAGUUUAGUGAUAAAUUAGAUCAUUCUGUUCAAAAGUCCUAAGGCAUGAGGUUCCAAAAUGAAAUAAAUGAAUUCAAAAGGCUUUAGGAGCUAUAAAGCAAAGGCAGUGCAUUAGCGUAAUUACGAAGGGCUACACUUGGCUGGGGGUCAAAUCAGAGCUGCAACUGGAGUCUACACCACAGCCACAGCAACGCUAGAUCUGAGCCGCAUCUGAGAACCACACCACACCUUGCAGCAAUGCCAGAUCCUUAACCCACUGAGCAAGGCCAGGAAGUGGAUCCACAUCUUCAGGGACACUGUGUCAGGUUGUUAACCUGCUGAGCCACAAUGGGAACUCUGAAUUUUAAUAUAUUUGAGAAAUAAAAAAGAACUUCCUCUGGUGACAAGCUAGCAUUUGCAUAUUCCUUGAAAUUAUAAAUGUUUUUCACAUACAUCAACUUAUUUCUACUCUCAUAAAAAUCCUGUGAAAAAGACAGAGGAGCUAUUAUCUCUGUUUAUGAAUAUAAGGAAAGUAAGGGACAAAGAUAUUAAAUGAAUAUCACAAUUCCGCAAACACGAAGCUGGGAACUCAAACUCAGGUCUUCUGACCACCAAUUCAGUACUCUAAUAUCCAUUGAUUGCCUGAUGACACUGAGAUUAGUCUAAUUUUUAUACCUCUCUAGUAACAUUUCAGUAGAUCUCUGUUACAGACAUCUCAAAAGUAACACACAGGUUCUUUUUCCACAAUUCUGACUUAAACCUUUAGGACAAGCACUGCACCACGAGUAUUUACCGCACCCAUGAAGAAUAUUUGUGGGGCAGACGACAAGUGCUAAUAAACCAUCCUUGGUCUCUUCUGUAAAAGUCUAAAAGUUUUUUUGCUAAAGUAAAAUGCUAUCUGAAUUGCAUAGGGAAGAAAAUAGUACCAUAGAAUGUACAUUAUGCAAAUACUUUACCAUUACAAGUGACAUGGCAAUGAACAGAGAGCUAAUUGCUUUCAUGAGAUAUAAUAAUAGUGAUAAAUAGUCACCAGGUAAUUACUACUUUAAACUAUGCAAUUAGCUCAUGUCAACCUUGUGAGUACAUAAAGAAAAUAUAACAUUUUAGGGAAAAAAUCAGAGUGGUAGCUCCUAAGUUUAAGAAAUUUUUAAAGCAGAGUUUGAUAACAUCUGUUUUCUAGUGUGAUGUUCCAUGAUGUCCUCAUUUCUUUUUGUUCUUGCCACCUAUUACACAGUUAUAAAAAUCAAAUAUAUCAGCUGGGACUCUGAAUGAUGAAUGUAAUAAAAAUCUAUAAGUGAACCUUUUAUAUAUAGAGAAAUUCUCUACACAUUUUAAAAGUUCCCAAUUAUCAGUUUGCUUUGUGUUCUUAAAUUUUUCCUGCCAUCUGCAUAUAAAUAUGUACUGAGUAUUAAGUAUGACUCUCUUACUAUUAUUCUAUCAACAUACACCUGUAUGUGUAUAACCUUUUACACUAAACAUACAAAAAAAUGCAUGAAAGUAUUGUUACAAAUCCACAACAACCAUGAGUAAUACCAUAAAACCAUAAACCCACUACCUGACCAAAAAACUGGACUGUGACAAAUCUCUGUACCAACCUAGGAGUUCUUCCCCUAUCCCACCUUCCUGCCUGUCCUCCACAGGUAGCCACUAGCCUGAAUUUUGUAUUUUAUCAUCCCUUGUCUUUUUAAAAAAUGAUAUCACAAUAUAUGCCUGCAUCUCUAAAUAAUAUUUUUUUUUAGUUUUUCUUGGUUUUGAGUUUUAUAGAAUGGUAUCUUACUGUAAAUAGUUCUCUGGUACUUGUUUUUUUACUCGAUCUUAUAUUUCUAGAUCCUUCUAUGUCAUUACAUACAGUUCAAUCAUUUCACUGCUGUGUAAUACUCCACCAGAUGACUGAUCUAUGUAUUUACAUCUGAAUUUAUGUAUUCAUCUUCUCUGGACAUUUGAGUUUCAAGUUUUUUUGCUAUUAUGACCAAGGAUAUCAUGAAUUCUUUUUGUACUAGCUCUUGGUGCAUAUAUGCAUAAGUUUCUCUAGGGUAUAUAGUUAGGAAUUAAAUUGCUGGAUGGUUGGGAAUGAAAAUGUUCAACUUUACAAUUUAGGGCCAAACUUUUGAAAAUACAUUGCUCCCAUUUUCAUUUCCAUUAACAGUGUGAUCAAAGCUCCUUAAUGUAAGUGACCAUUACUAUACAUUCUAUCUUAAAAGUGAUUUUCAAUAUUGGUCCCUUUGGUGAAUGGUUAACAAUUACCAUGACUAUUAAACCAUUUUAAAUCCUCAGUACUUUUCAAACAACCUCUCUAGAUGCAAAAAUAAACAAUACAUAUUCAGUUUUAAAUGUUCUUAACAAAGUGAAUCUGUUUAGUAGCCAGCUAAGAAAAUAAAUCCAUAAUUUUAAAUAAGUAUAAGCAUAUGUCAAUCUGGACUUAAAAAUUUUAAUAUCCCAGGUGUUCUGUCAAGUGAAAUUAACGGGACAGACACUAAUCAUGUAUAAUAUGAUUUUAUUUCACUGGACUCCAAAAGCCCAAGAUCCUUUUCUACAACCCAAAUUUUUGUAUUGAUUAAAAAGAUAUAUUAAGGAUACUUGUUUUCCAAAUACCUGUUUUGUACUAUUGUGCCAAGUCUAUUUACAUAAAUCAUAUUUAUCCAAGAAUCCUUACCUAACGCCGUCCUAGGUUUCUUUAUGAUAAUCUUCAUAGAAGCUUCCUAAAUUGUAAUGUUAAUCAAAAACAUUACCUAAAUUGUUUAUUCUAGUUAACGUACAUCAACACUAGCUAAUUCACAGGUGAAAUAUUUGAAUCGUUGAAUAAUCCUGCUUAAAACUCAUUGCUCUUAGAAUAAAGACAGAAGUCUUCAC
rnacentral:lncRNA from 1 species